AUUCUAGCCCUAAUUAUUUAUUUACUAAAGUAUUAAAAGUUAUGGUCUCUAAAUUUAAAGGAUUUGGCGGUGAUUUAAUCCCAUUAGAGGAACCUGUUAAGUAAACGAUAAACCACGCAAAAUCUUACCUGUUUUAUAGUUUGUAUACCGUCAUUAUUAGAUAACUUUUCAAGAAAAUAGUUAUUGAGAUAAAAACCUUUAGUAUAUUAGAUCAAGGUGCAGCCCAUGAACAGGAAAAUAAUGGGUUACAAUAAAAUUUACUUAAACGGAUAUAAAAUUUAAAUAUUUUAUUAAAGGAGGAUUUAAUAGUAAAAUUAGUUUAAUAAGCUGUUUUGACAAUGGACCUAAAUCGUGUACAUAUCGCCCGUCACUUGCAUUCCCAAAUGAAAUAAGUCGUAACAUAG
rnacentral:rRNA from 1 species